UGGGGAAUCUUGGACAAUGGGCGCAAGCCUGAUCCAGCCAUGCCGCGUGAGCGAUGAAGGCCUUAGGGUUGUAAAGCUCUUUCACCGGUGAAGAUAAUGACGGUAGCCGGAGAAGAAGCCCCGGCUAACUCCGUGCCAGCAGCCGCGGUAAUACGGAGGGGGCUAGCGUUGUUCGGAAUUACUGGGCGUAAAGCGCGCGUAGGCGGACUGAUCAGUCAGGGGUGAAAUCCCGGGGCUCAACCCCGGAACUGCCUUUGAUACUGUCAGUCUUGAGUCCGGAAGAGGCGAGUGGAAUACCGAGUGUAGAGGUGAAAUUCGUAGAUAUUAGGUGGAACACCAGUGGCGAAGGCGCCUAACUGGUCCGGUACUGACGCUGAGGAACGAAAAGCGUGGGGAGCAAACAGGAUUAGAUACCCUGGUAGUCCACGCCGUAAAACGAUGAGUGCUAGAUGUUGGGAUUUUCGGAUUUCAGUGUCGCAGCUAAACGCAUUAAGCACUCCGCCUGGGAGUACGGCCGCAAGGUUAAAACUC
rnacentral:rRNA from 1 species